UUAACAUGCGAGUAGAAAUUAACGCUUAAUCCCAUUUUUAUUGGGCUUCAGACAUUUUAGUCUUGUCACCUAAAGCCUCGCACUCGGAGGUCCAAAUACACCAAAUCUAAUACGAGUUAGUCUUUUUCUUAACCAUUCAGUCCAAAUCGAUUUUUUCUCAUGACAAAUAUAACCCUACUAAUUCAUUUCAUGUGUUUGCCGAGAGAAAAACCUAAGAACAAAUCUCAAUCUCUACAGGUUUCAUCUGAACCAGCACAGUUGAAAUCUACAAUUCGUAAAUUCGAGUUUAAGAAACCUAAUUCGAUUCAAUCUCCAUAUCCAAAACCAAAGUUUGAGUAUCAAUUACCACUUGAUUCAGCUCGGAAGCCUUAAUCCUAUAUCAUCUAUAUCUGUUGUUGAAGAAUUAUCUUGAAAUUGAUGCGUAAGGUCGAUGAAAUCACCAACAACGAUUGUAAUUCAUCUUAAUUUUCAUCAACAGAAUUGAUUAGAAAGGCUUAAUGGGUGUUGAUGCGAUGCCUGACACGAAUAUUAUUAAUUGGAAAUUUGGAAUACAACCAGUGUUGCUUGUUCUGAUUGCGUGGGUAUUGAGCGGGCACAAAAUCUCCCCUUUCCUAGUUACCAAUUUCACUGUUAAAUGAUAUGCCUAGAAGAACAUACUCAUUUUGCCAGUUAGUGUACAUAAUCAAAAGAUUAUAGUUCUCUUUGACACAACCUUUUUGAAGUUCUCUGGUUGUGAGAGUUCAUGGUAAGGUGCAGUUUAUGAUAAACGUAUAGCCAUUGUGAUUAAUCUGCAUUUAUUUCCAUAUCUCUGCCCCUUCAUAAUAUAUAAAUUGAAUUGGCACAUACAGUAGGGGGUCUUUUAGUUGCUACAUUUGGAAAUGCAACUGAACUGAUAAAAUUAAAAUGUGCGUUAAAAAAUGGAAGGAUGCGCAUUGUACAACAAUCAUUAGUAGGCUCAAUUAUGCCAAACAUGUUGAUGAUGCUUGGAUGUGCAUUCUUUAGUGAUGGUUUUGUUUUCUUCAAGAAAGAACAAAUUUUUAACAAGCUAAGAAUAACCCAUGGUGAGCAUGGUGAAACCUCAGAAUCUUCCCUGCCUCAUUGAUGAAAAUUGGCAUUGCUGGUAGUUGGUGAGUGUAGUGAAACCUCACAACCUUCCCUGACUUAUUAAGGUGGACUUUGAAUUCUCAUGAAAAGGUCUUAAUAGACUUAAAAUACAACGAAUUUAUUUGUCUUGGUUUUAUUGCCAUGGUCUGUGGUGGGGGUUAUGCAAAACAAAGUCCAAAGAGAAUAUAAAACGGAAUUGAAUGAAAUUUCUUAUUCAUAAGGAGGGAAAAUCAUUUUAUUUUGAUUUCUUAAUUAAAGCAAAAUCCUGGAAUUUUUAUUGAUUGUCCCUUCACAAUGCUUUAGAUAAGCUGACUUUUUCAUUUGUAUGGCAAAUUUAAAGUAGUAAAAGAAGAAACUGACUCAUUUCUAAUUUUCCUAGCCCUCAAACAUCUUUGCAAUCUUUCACUAAGAAUAAGUCAGUUGGCUUCUUUUAGAGCUGAACAUUCUGCUUCUUCAGUAAGUACACUUAUACACAUAAUAGCGUACAUUUUUCUGACUCAUUCCUAAUUUCUGUAUAAGUGUGCCUUCUUCAGUAAGUGUACAUUUUUAUACACAUGUGACAGAAAUUGCAUGAGUUUACAUAAUAGCGUACCUUUAAUACAAGUGUACAUAGUUGUGCACUUCUAAUACAAGUGUACAUUAUUGUGCACAUGUGACAAAAAUUACAAGUUGGUGGACAGAUACCGCAUAAGCUUCUUUCUUCCAAUUUGGCGAUUAAAAUUUGAUCUGAAGAUCCAUUCAUUUCCAAAUUUGGGAAUGAGAUUCCUCUAUUGGAUUUGUGGUUUCUUGUUGCGUGUUACUUACAUUGAGAUUCAAAGAUGCUAAUUCUGUAACUGCAUCUGGAAGGAAAUAGCUAGGUGUCGAGUCUGUUAAGUUACCUUAGAGUAUCCAUUGGUUUAACUGGGAGGAUGUUUACAUGUUUUACUAUGUGUUCCAGAAUUAUGUAAUUGCGUCUGGAAGGAAUAUCGGAAGCUGGAUAUGGUUUACCACUAGUUAUUGAAGUUUUGGACAGGACUAGUUAUUGAAGUUUUGUUGCUCUCUUCUACGUGUUACGGGUAAUUGAUGCUAUUGAUGAUACUGAUCUUCCUACAAGAUAUGUGAAUAACACAGGUCUUUCUACAAGAGUUGGAAGGGCUUAAUCCGGACUGGGUCGAUCCUGAUCAGUCAGCUGAAUGAGGCUUUUAUCGUGCAAUGGCUCUUGCUGGUAGUGAAUUUUUAGAGAUAUAAACAACGAGACGCACGGUAAACCAGGGUGGUGGAACGAAAAAUUUAUCAAUGCAGACAUAGACAACAAUGGUCGUCUCAAUUUCACAGAAUUCAAUGAUUUCCUUCCAGUAACCCGAAGACGGUGACAAUGAGGAUAUCCAAACUGAUUGGGUGUAGCACUGGUUAUCAUCCUUCUAUAAGUGUAGAAAUUGGUGCACUUGUAACAAGAUGAGUGCAGGUGAAUGAGCCUGUAUGCACAAGGAUUAUUUCUGUAGGCACCUAAAUUAUCAGGUGCAUUUGAGACACUAGCAGCAGAUAUGCUUCCUACAAGUGAUGAUUUCUGUAUGCACAAGGAUGAGCCUGAUUGGGAUACACCAACGAAUGAAGUCGCUUCCGUAGGUGAUGCAAUUGAAGAUAUCCGUCAAGGCAAGGCAGUUGCACCCAUAGCUCGGAACUGGGUUUGAUCUAGCAUGAUCGAGCUGUCUAUGAUUUAAUUAAAAUUUUAUCUUGGGUAUAUCUUGAAGAUGGCCAUUGUUGUUGAUGACGAAGAUAGAGAAAAUGAAGGAGAUUUAAUAAUGGCAGAAGAGUUGGUGGUUAUUGUUGUGGAUGAUUCCAGUUGAAUGUGGUGUACAAACAAGUGCACCUUGUCUUGUCUUUGGAUUUUCUGAAUCUGUAGAUGUAAAUAUGUUGGUACACUAGUGUAAACUAAGAUUUCUAAAAAAUGAGAAUUAUAUAGUCA